rnacentral:rRNA from 1 species
UACGGGGGGGGCAAGCGUUGUUCGGAAUUACUGGGCGUAAAGGGCUCGUAGGCGGCCAACUAAGUCAGACGUGAAAUCCCUCGGCUUAACCGGGGAACUGCGUCUGAUACUGGAUGGCUUGAGUUCGGGAGAGGGAUGCGGAAUUCCAGGUGUAGCGGUGAAAUGCGUAGAUAUCUGGAGGAACACCGGUGGCGAAGGCGGCCAACUGGACGAAUACUGACGCUGAGACACGAAAGCGUGGGGAGCAAACAGG